rnacentral:rRNA from 1 species
UGAGGAAUAUUGGGCAAUGCCCGCAAGGGUGACCCGGCAACGCCGCGUGGAGGAUGAAUGUCGUAAGAUUGUAAACUCCUGUUAGAGGGGAAGAAUAGUACCGGUUGGACCGGUAUAUGACUGUACCCUCAGAGAAAGCCCCGGCUAACUACGUGCCAGCAGCCGCGGUAAUACGUAGGGGGCAAGCGUUGUCCGGAUUUACUGGGUGUAAAGGGCGCGCAGGCGGGAUAAAAAGUCAGUGGUGAAAUCCUACAGCUUAACUGUAGAACUGCCUUUGAUACUUUUAUUCUUGAGUUCGGGAGAGAGAGACGGAAUUCCAGGUGUAGUGGUGAAAUACGUAGAUAUCUGGAAGAACACCAGUUGCGAAGGCGGUCUCUUGGUCCGACGCUGACGCUGAGGCGCGAAAGCGUGGGGAGCAAACA